rnacentral:rRNA from 1 species
UACGAAGGGGGCUAGCGUUGCUCGGAAUCACUGGGCGUAAAGGGCGCGUAGGCGGCCAUUCAAGUCGGGGGUGAAAGCCCAGGGCUCAACCCUGGAAUUGCCUUCGAUACUGUUUGGCUAGAGACCGGAAGAGGUUAGUGGAACUGCGAGUGUAGAGGUGAAAUUCGUAGAUAUUCGCAAGAACACCAGUGGCGAAGGCGGCUAACUGGUCCGGUUCUGACGCUGAGACGCGAAAGCGUGGGGAGCGAACAGG